rnacentral:tRNA from 1 species
GCUCGGGUGGAGAAAUGGUAUACUCGCAACACUUAAAAUGUUGUGGUCAUAAGGCCGUGUGGGUUCGACUCCCACCCCGAGCA